ACAGCACUUUGUAGCCCGCCCAUCACGUGCAGGACAGCCCACGCUCUUCGCUUCGCCGUCUUCACUCUUCACAGGCUGGAGCGAGGAGGAGCCCUCCUCCUCUACGAACCACGGCUUCCCGCAUCAACAUCCUCGAAGGCUAAUCUACGAAUCAAUUUACUUUUUCGGAUUCGUGGAGAGGCCGCAGAUAGAGCUAGAUCCCACUCUUCUCCUCCCCCAGUCGAUAUCGGCUCCAAACCGGGGAAUUUUCUGGAGGAGUUAGACAUGGGGGGAAGAAGCGGCGUUUAACUAUUGCCGAUGAUUUCUCUGUUGCUAUGGUGCAGCCUACCGCUGGCAAAUGGAAAAGGAAGUUCAGUGUCAAGCGUAAUGAUAUGCUGGUAGCUUGAUUAUGCUGUACUUACCAUUUCUUGAAUUUCCGACAUUGGCUUGAGCAUGGAGAUUUUUGCUGAGUCUGUAUUUCUAGGUGAAAGAAAAAACAAUUUAGUAUCUUACUUGAAGACAUAGGCGGACUAUUAUGGCAGAGCUAUACUAUAAAUUCUUUGUAUUACCUGGAGAUGGCUCUUAAGAUGAUACAAUGUUAGUCCAGGGACAGCCAUGAGCCUCAUAAUAGUUUUCGGGGUGGCUUCUGCAGAGAUUUGUAAGUGUUUAGAUGAUAGCAUCGAUGCAGUUGCUUCUAGGGCAAAAAAGGUAUCAGUAGUGCGUGCUUACUAUCUGGUCCGCCGAGUUGAUUUACUGCCUCCACGAAACGAUCAUGUAGCUCUGGGGUCCAUUUUAACCUAGGCUUAGCAUCAGUUGAGAGUACAAGCCCUGACUCUCCUGGAAUAAUUCCUCCUUGCAUAAGUAAGUGCCUCUCUGAAGGGAAAGUCUGCCUAGAAGACAAGAGCUGGUUGUGGCUCUGGAGCUGUUGUUGAUGAUGAUACAUCUGAAUAAAAAUAUCGCAGUUCUUUUCAGUACUGAUGUCUGCUUGUAGACUGAUCCUUCCAAGAACUCUCUGCUGCAGCUUUAUCAACCCUCCGUUUCUGGUACUGGUCUUAUAAGGCAGGAAAGGGAGAAGAGAAUUUCGAAUCGUUGGAAGAAGCACUCGAACCUGACCCAAUCUUCACAGCAACUGAAAAGAGAUAUUAUCCUUAUUCCUUUAGCGUACUGAAGCACAACAUACAUUUGACUAAGGCAUAUAAGUAUCACUUCAUAUGAGAGCAAAAAAAUUAAAUUCCUUAUUGACCGAAGGCAUCCAGAAGAAGAACUGGUUGAUGUUUUGCCUGCAAACAAAGCAAAGAAGGAACUCAUUCUAUCACAGAUGCCUUUCUUGGGACUGCACAAAAGCAAAGUAUGGAAUAAGCAUAUGAUUCCCUUUUGUCUCCUCUGGGAGGCACGCGAUCCUGAGAGAAGGAACAAGGGAAAGAGUGAUGCUGACAAAGCUGGCGGAAUCGGGGCCCUUUUAUUUUUGGCAAAGAUGAGAUGGAAUAUAAUCGCCUAUGUCUCCCUCUUGUGUGUGGUAUGGUUUCUCUGUUCUACCGCAUCCAUGUAUCUCGCGGCAGGCCUGCAAGACCAAGUGACCACCAACACGUGUGGACAGUUGUGUAGGUAGUAUCUUCGGAGCUCGGUGCUAAUAUUAAACCCACAUCCCGGUUGCAGGAAGAAAGUGAACCUGAACAAGGAGCAUAAUGCGUGGAGAUUAUAGAGAGCAGUUGCUUAGUGUUUGAUAUCAUAUCUGAACAACCUGAAGAUGCUUUCGUUUUUUAUAAUCUGGGAGCUUUCUCCGCAUCUUGGUUCCUGCCCGUCGGAUCCCUCAGGCAUCUGCUUUUCUGAACGGUGAAGCAAAGGUUGCAAUUUUGCUGAAUGCACUGGACUGAAAACGCCAGGAGAUGCCUCGGUUUUGUACAUGUGAAGUCGGGUUGGCAAAGAUGAGAAACGGAAUUUCGAUCAUUUAUUCAUUCUGAGCAGUCUUUGGUUUUUUUUAUCUGUGGAGGGAAAGCAAGUCUCCCCUUUUUUUGGAACUCACAUCAGUCGGUUCCUCUUUUUAUUUUUUGUAUGUAAUAAAGCCAAUGAGCACGGAACGUUUCUGAACAGUCGGCACC